UUGUCUAUCCCUUAUGCAAAACCUACUAAUUCGAGCUUUUGAACUUGUUAUUCUACUAACUACUUGACAUUUUCGGUCAAAUAUUAUCAUUUUUUCAUUUUUUUUCUUAUCUUGAGACUGGAUUUUUCAGUGUCACCUUCCUUCUUUUUGAGAUAUUCUAUUUUUUCUUUUUUUCUUUUUUUUGAAAUAACAACAAAUGUACAACAUUAAUACUAAGAGAGACUCAAUAAUCCUGCACUACGCAAUUAGCAACUUUAUUGACUCCUAAACUUGACCGAGUUACAUGCUAGUUAUGUACACAUAAUCAAAUGAAGGCUUGAAAGAAAGGGGAUAUGGUAUUAUGGGGGAACAUGAAAGAUUCGGCUAGGGCGGCCACUGCGGGCUCUCAAGCUCCAUACUAGUUAUGGAAUCCGUCAAUCUUGACCCUGGUGAACCACUCCUUGGAAAGGUCCAUCCUUCG
rnacentral:lncRNA from 1 species